AUUGAACGCUGGCGGCAGGCCUAACACAUGCAAGUCGAACGAGUGGCGGACGGGUGAGUAAUGUCUGGGAAACUGCCCGAUGGCGGGGGAUAACUACUGGAACCGGUAGCUAAUACCGCAUACCAUCGGAUGUGCCCAGAUGGGAUUAGCUAGUAGGUGGGGUAAAGGCUCACAUAGGCGACGAUCCCUAGCUGGUCUGAGAGGAUGACAAGCCGCACUGGAGCUGAGACACGGGCCAGACUCCUACGGGAGGCAGCAGUGGGGAAUAUUGCACAAUGGGCGCAAGCCUGAUGCAGCCAUGCCGCGUGUGUGAAGAAGGCCUUCGGGUUGUAAAGCACUUUCAGCGGGGAGGCGUUACCCGCAGAAGAAGCACCGGCUAACUCCGUGCCAGCAGCCGCGGUAAUAC
rnacentral:rRNA from 1 species